rnacentral:rRNA from 1 species
AACGAACGCUGGCGGCGUGGAUAAGACAUGCAAGUCGAACGAGACGAGAGCUUAGCUUGCUUUGCUCAAGUUUAGUGGCGAACGGGUGAGUAACACGUGAGCAACCUGCCCAGAAGCAGGGGAUAGCCCACCGAAAGGUGGAUUAAUACCGUAUGUGAUUGUCGAGGGAUUCCUCGACGUAUCAAAGGUGGGGAUCUUCGGACCUGCCGCUUCUGGAUGGGCUCGCGGCCUAUCAGCUUGUUGGUGAGGUAACGGCUCACCAAGGCUACGACGGGUAGCUGGUCUGAGAGGAUGAUCAGUCACACUGGAACUGAGACACGGUCCAGACACCUACGGGUGGCAGCAGUCGAGAAUCAUUCGCAAUGGGGGAAACCCUGACGGUGCGACGCCGCGUGGAGGAUGACGGCCCUAGGGUUGUAAACUCCUGUCAUCGGGGAGUAAGGUCUGCAGUUUAAUAGGCUGCAGGAUUGAUAGUACCCGAAGAGGAAGAGACGGCUAACUCUGUG